rnacentral:lncRNA from 1 species
CUUUCCAAGAGGUUCACUGAUUGGUUUUCCAUGAAUCGAACUACAUUUGCUUCCCUGAGGAAAUUAUAACUGUUCCAAUAACUUAAAGAGUGUGAAGAUUACUGGUUACUGAAAGUAGAGAAAAAAAAAGAGGAAUGGGCGUUAAUUUCUCAUGAUGUUGUAGGGGUGGAAAUGGUUUCUAUCUGGUAAACUGAUGUCCUGAAGGAGUUGGAGACACCUUCGGAUAGAAAUAUGGUACCUGUAAGGAGUUGGAGACACCAUUUGGUUCCUUUAAAUAGGAAUAUGAUUUAUCACUGUGGAUUUCAGAUAGAAAAUCUCCUGCUUCCAAGCCAAAUCACACUUCUUCAUUGGGAGUUGCUUCCUACUACAUAUUGGAAAAUCUAUAUAACAUAUGUGGAUC